rnacentral:rRNA from 1 species
GACGAACGCUGGCGGCGUGCUUAACACAUGCAAGUCGAACGGAAAGGCCCUGCUUUUGUGGGGUGCUCGAGUGGCGAACGGGUGAGUAACACGUGAGUAACCUGCCCUUGACUUUGGGAUAACUUCAGGAAACUGGGGCUAAUACCGGAUAGGAGCUCCUGCUGCUUGGUGGGGGUUGGAAAGUUUCGGCGGUUGGGGAUGGACUCGCGGCUUAUCAGCUUGUUGGUGGGGUAGUGGCUUACCAAGGCUUUGACGGGUAGCCGGCCCGAGAGGGUGACCGGCCACAUUGCGACUGAGAUACGGCACAGACUCCUACGGGAGGCAACGGUGGGGAAUAUUGCACAAUGGGCGGAAGCCUGAUGCAGCAACGCCGCGUGCGGGAUGACGGCCUUCGGGUUGUAAACCGCUUUCGCCUGUGACGAAGCGUGAGUGACGGUAAUGGGUAAAGAAGCACCGGCUAACUACGUG